rnacentral:rRNA from 1 species
CAGUCGCCGCGGUAAUACGAAGGGGGCUAGCGUUGCUCGGAAUUACUGGGCGUAAAGGGAGCGUAGGCGGAUCGUUAAGUUGGGGGUGAAAGCCCGGGGCUCAACCUCGGAACUGCCUUCAAUACUGGCGAUCUUGAGUAUGAGAGAGGUGUGUGGAACUCCGAGUGUAGAGGUGAAAUUCGUAGAUAUUCGGAAGAACACCAGUGGCGAAGGCGACACACUGGCUCAUUACUGACGCUGAGGCUCGAAAGCGUGGGGGGCAAACAGGAUUAGAUACCCCAGUAGUCCCUGUCUCUUAUAA